rnacentral:rRNA from 1 species
CAGCCGCCACGGUAAUACAGAUGAUGCAAGCGUUAUCCGGAAUGAUUGGGCGUAAAGCGUCUGUAGGUGGCUUUUCAAGUCCGCCGUCAAAUCCCAGGGCUCAACCCUGGACAGGCGGUGGAAACUACCAAGCUGGAGUACGGUAGGGGCAGAUGGAGUUUCCGGUGGAGCGGUGAAAUGCGUUGAGAUCGGAAGGAACACCUGUGGCGAAAGCGGCUCACUGGACAAUAACUGACGCUGAUGCACGAAAGCUAGGGGAGCAAACAGGAUUAGAUACCCCAGUAGUCCCUGUCUCUUAUAC